rnacentral:misc_RNA from 1 species
CAACACACAGAAGGGCUUCGCCAGUCGUGCCUAUCCCACACGUUAUCUUGCUUAUUCCUUUCCCUUGUUAUUUGUUCACUCGUGGAACGCCAUCUCUCGCUCCCUCGAUCUUGUAUCCGUCUCCCUCCCUCCCUCAUCAUGCUCCGUCGCGUGUGCUCUUCGGCAGCGGCCUCCCACGCCGCUGCUGUGACGAUGGCUUUGCGCAGCCUCACCUACCAACCGCGCAUCCGCGACGUGCAGUUUCUGUACGAGGAGGUUUUCAACAUGUACGACCACUACAAGAAUUUGGGCAAGAACGGUGCUGGUGGAUCUGACAGCGUGGUCACGAAGGAAUUGAUGGAUGCGCUGCUGGAGGAGAGCUCGAAGCUUGCGGUGCAGACGUUGUUUCCGUUGUACGAGUCCAGCGACAGCGAGGGCUGCGUGCUGAAGGACGGCAACGUGACGACGCCCAAUGGCUUCAAGGAGGCGUACCAGGCGCUCACGGCGGGCGGCUGGACCGGUAUUAAUGAGGCCGAGAAGUACGGUGGGCAGGCGCUGCCUCUGUCGGUCGGGUUCACAACACGUGAAAUGAUAGCGACAGCGAAUUGGGGUUUCAGCAUGUAUUCCGGGCUGUCUCUGGGUGCCUGCCGCACUCUCAUGUCAUGGGCGAGCGACGAGUUGAAGGACCAGUACCUGCCUAAACUGGUGAGUGGCGAGUGGAGCGGGACAAUGUGCCUGACGGAGCCGCAGUGCGGGACGGACCUGUCACAAGUGAAGACGAAGGCGGAGCCGUCCGGCGACGGCAAGUCGUACCGCAUCACCGGGACGAAGAUCUUCAUUUCCGCCGGCGACCACGACCUGACGGACAACAUUAUUCACGUCGUGCUUGCACGGCUGCCGAACUCGCUGCCGUCGACGAAGGGGCUGUCGCUGUUCCUUGUGCCGCGGCAUGUUGUGAACGAUGACGGGUCACUGGAGGCUGCGAAGAAUGUGGAGUGCAUUGCGCUGGAGAAAAAGAUGGGGAUCAAGGGCAGCUCGACGUGCCAGCUGAGCUUCCACAACUCUGUGGGGUAUCUGAUCGGCGAGCCGAGCGCCGGGAUGAAGCAGAUGUUCACGUUCAUGAACGCCGCGCGAGUCGGGUGCGCGCUGGAGGGCGUCUGCCACGCGGAGCUUGCGUUCCAGAACGGGCUGCGGUACGCGCGCGAGCGGCGAUCUAUGCGUGCGCUUGGCGGCACAAAGGAACCGGAGAUGGUAGCGGACCGGAUCAUCUGCCACGCGAACGUGCGGCAGAAUGUGCUGUUCGCGAAGGCUAUUGCGGAGGGCGGGCGCGCGCUGCUGCUGGACGUUGGGCGGCUGCUGGACCUGCACGCCGCUGCGCCAGACGCUGCAACCGCGGAGGCGCUGGACCACGAGAUCGGCUUCUACACGCCGAUCGCGAAGGCGUGUGUGACGGAGUGGGGGGUGGAGGCAGCAAGCCGGUUGCUGCAAGUGUGGGGCGGGCACGGGUACAUCAAGGGCAACGGGAUGGAGCAGAUCCUGCGCGACUCGCGCAUCGGAACCAUCUACGAGGGCACGACCGGCGUGCAGGCACUGGACUUCAUUGGCCGCAAGGUGCUGAGCACGAAGGGCGGCAACCAGGCAAAACGGUUCGGGAAGCGCGUGAGCAAGCUUGCGCGGGCGCACAUGCUGUCGACCGGUGCACUGGGGCGGUACGGGCGGCAGCUGUGGCUGAUGCAGAAGCAGUGGCGGAUUGCGACGACCCGGAUCGGGCUGAUGGCGUUGAAAAACCGCGACGCCGCCGCCGCGUCGUCGGAGGACUUCCUGAUGUACACGGGAUACAUGACUCUUGGGUACUACUGGCUGCGGAUGGCGGAGGUAGCCCAUUGCAAGGUGGCAGCCGGCCAGGACGCGGACGGGUUCUACCAGACGAAGCUGGACACGUGCGAGUACGUGUUCACGCGCAUUCUGCCGCGCGCUGAGGCGCACAGGAGGGUCAUGCAGGCGGAGCCGACGCUGUGCGCGUAUAAGGAGGAGAACUGGGACAUCUGAUCACGUGGCACACAUGCGGUGCGUGGCUGCUGGUGCUGUCGGAGGGGGGGGGUGAGCUAGUCGUGCGAGGACGCUUCUUUCCUGCUUCCCAGGUGUCCCUUUCGUGACGUGCGUUCGUAAGCCUCUUGGCACAGCGGCCAACGAUUCUCGCACCUGCAGAUUGUUUGCACGCCGUCCCUCGCGCCUCCUCCGCCCCACUAGCCUGCCUGUUUAGACACCCCGGAUGCCGCCCCAUCGUGAAGGAUGGAGGGCAUGCAUGUCUCACUCUCACCAUCCCUCCACUUCCUCGCUCUGAAGAACAUUAAGAGGUUCCGACACGGCGAAAUCACGCGAGCAAACGCCGUUGGGGGAGGACAGGAGGAUGCGCCUCUCCGCGAUGUUUCUUCUUUUCUGUUUGCGCUGCCCUCUCUCUCUCUCGGCGCUUAUGGAUGGCAAGCGCCGAGACCCCGCGCGAUAGAACGAGCCGCUGCGUGUGUGUGUGUUUUCUGACGCUUUUCACUCUCUUCGUCUCUGCGCGUGUGUGGCUGGCCCGCCUCUCUCUUGCUGAAGAACGAUAUGUCGAUGUUCUCAUCGUUUUAUUUCCGACGUUGAUGACGGGACCCUGAUGAUGCCGGCUCAUCUCCGUGUGUGAAAUCCGAG